CUAACUCUUAGGUAGAACUAAUUUUACAAAAAUAGCCAUGAAGGUUCUUGUAUUAGUUUCAUGGCUUUGCCUCAUUAUAUUCUUGCAAAUUUUGCCAUACUCCACUUGCAAAUUCACCCCAAAAUCCACAAAUCAUGAACUUAUCUUCCCUAAUGAAAACAAAGAAAAGAUUGCAAAUAAUGAAAGAAAGGAUGUGCAUAAAGUUGUUCAUCAGAGAAGAGGAGUAUAUGGUGGAGCAGACCUUCUUCGCAAAGGACCUAAAAAGAAUGGAGCCAAUUAUAUAUUUGAAAAGCCAAUUUUAGUGUCUUCUUUCUUCUUGUUUCUUUUUGUUGCCUUCACUCUCUAAGAUUUGCUAUAGUUAUGAUAGUUGGAAAAGAUUGGUUUCUCUCUCUUUCCCUUUUUAGAUAUAUUCUCAUUUUUUUUAUUGAGGUUAUAGCA